AUGCGCGGGGAAAGGGAGUUUGUAUCUGAAAUUUCUGCACUUACAACUUUCAAACAUGAUAACCUUGUUACACUUAAAGGCUGCUGUGUUGAUGGAGCUAAAAGGCUCUUGGUUUACAAUUACAUGGAAAAUAAUAGCCUUGCACAGAUAUUACUAGGUGGAGAGAAAAACAGGAUAAAACUUGAUUGGGAAGCAAGGCGGGCGAUUUCACUCGGAGUUGCUCGAGGGCUUGCAUAUCUUCAUGAGGAAGUUAAGCCGCGCAUUGUGCACAGAGAUAUUAAAGCUAGCAACAUUCUUUUGGAUCAGAAUUUAGUACCGAAGUUUCGGAUUUCGGUCUUUCGAGAAUUCUAAGGGAUAAUGCUUCUCAUAUUAGCACCCAAGUUGCAGGCACAUUUAACCGUGGCUAAUGGAAUUUCUUGCAAAUGGCAAAUGAGAUAGAGGCUAUCUCGCCCCUGAAUACGCCUUCAGUGGACGUUUAACAAUAAAAACAGAUGUUUACAGUUUUUGGGUCCUACUUUUGGAAAUUAUUAGCGGCCAGACGGUUGUCGAUUUUGACUUAGAGCAUGGUGAACAUUACCUUGUUCAAAAGGCAUGGGAAAUAUACAGGGAUAACAGGAUUCUGCAAUUGGUGGAUCCUAUAGUAGGUAUGAACUACCCCCAUGAAGAUGCGAUUCGAUUCAUCAAGGUGGGUCUCCUUUGCAUUCAAGAAAAAUCCCGGCUCCGACCAGAAAUGUCGACGGCACUGAAAAUGUUGAGUAAUGAUGUAGACAUUGAAAGAGUCCAGGUUUCACAACCAGGUCUUGUUGCUGAUCUGAUGAAUAUCAAGUUCGGACAAAAGACAACGUUUCAUAGCCUCUACUCUAAAGCCUCAAAUUUGGAAAACACCCCAAGCCCCCUCAGUUCAUGUUCUUGACUUUGCAGGCUCUAUACUUUUGGGGGAAACCGAUUACUGUUCGUUGACGGCACUGAAACUGUUCGAAUACAGUCCUGAAAAUAUUGUACAAACAAAGAAGGAAAACACACAGAAAUAUAGCACUUUCUCACAACAAUUUUUCAUUUUUUUCAGA